rnacentral:rRNA from 1 species
UAACUGAAGAGUUUGAUCAUGGCUCAGAUUGAACGCUGGCGGCAGGCUUAACACAUGCAAGUCG